rnacentral:rRNA from 1 species
GGAGUUAGCCGGUGCUUCUUCUGUGAGUGAUGUCCUUCCUGCCGGUUAUUGACCCGCAGGCCUUCUUCCUCACUGAAAGUGCUUUACAACCCGAAGGCCUUCUUCACACACGCGGCAUGGCUGGAUCAGGGUUGCCCCCAUUGUCCAAUAUUCCCCACUGCUGCCUCCCGUAGGAGUCUGGGCCGUGUCUCAGUCCCAGUGUGGCUAAUCAUCCUCUCAGACCAGCUACGGAUCGUCGCCUUGGUGAGCCGUUACCUCACCAACCAGCUAAUCCGACAUAGGCUCAUCCGAUAGCGCGAGGCCCGAAGGUCCCCCGCUUUCCCCCGUAGGGCGUAUGCGGUAUUAGCCUGGGUUUCCCCAGGUUAUCCCCCACUACCGGGCAGAUUCCUAUGCAUUACUCACCCGUCCGCCGCUCGCCACCAGGGAGCAAGCUCCCCGUGCUGCCGCUCGACUUGCAUGUGUUAGGCCUGCCGCCAGCGUUCAAUCUGAGCCAGAAUCGAACCCUGA